rnacentral:pre_miRNA from 14 species
GCCCACAUGGGAAAAUCGAUUUUCCCGUGCGAUCCUCUUAAAUGGACUGCACGCGAAAAUGAGUCGAUUUUCCCGUGCGGGC